rnacentral:rRNA from 1 species
UACAGAGACUGCAAGCGUUAUUCGGAUUCACUGGGCGUAAAGGGUGCGCAGGCGGCCGUGUGUGUGAGGCGUGAAAGCCCGGGGCUUAACCCCGGAAUUGCACCUCAAACUACACGGCUAGAGCAUUGGAGAGGGUAGCAGAAUUCACGGUGUAGCAGUGAAAUGCGUAGUUAUCGUGAGGAAUACCAGAGGCGAAGGCGGCUACCUGGACAAUUGCUGACGCUCAGGCACGAAAGCUAGGGUAGCAAACGGG